GUCGAGCCUCGUAGCACAGGCUUGUCACAUGAGUGAGGGCAUGAAGGAGGUGGAAUGAUGUGUUGUGCUUGAUUGGGUUAGGUUUGACCCACCCAACCCCGACUUGCCCAUUUUGAGUCAAGAAAUUGAGCAAUGUGACUCCAGGCGAAGACUCGAGUCAUACGCAUCCUAACAAAGAAACGAGUACCUCCCGCUCUCGACAGUGGAAGGGAUGGCAGACUGGUCGAAGCCACACCUUACCAUGCUCGGCAAGCUAACAUCGAUCAGACCCCACUUUU
rnacentral:SRP_RNA from 15 species